GGCUCAUUAAAUCAGUUACGGUUCCUUAGAUACUGAUGUUCUAUAUGGAUAACUGUGGUAAUUCUAGAGCUAAUACAUGCAACUAUGCCUCGACCCUUUUUGGGAAGAGGUGCACUUAUUAGACCAAGACCAAUGGGGCUUCGGCUCUUUUGGUGGUGACUCUGGAUAACUAUGCCGAUCGCUAACCCUUAAUUGGGGGCGACAAAUCUUUCAAGUGUCUGCCUUAUCAACUUUCGAUGGUAGGUUAUGUGCCUACCAUGGUUGUAACGGGUAACGGGGAAUCAGGGUUCGAUUCCGGAGAGGGAGCCUGAGAAACGGCUACCACAUCCAAGGAAGGCAGCAGGCGCGCAAAUUACCCACUCCCAGUUCGGGGAGGUAGUGACGAAAAAUAACAAUGCGGGACUCUUAUGAGGCUCCGUAAUUGGAAUGAGAACAAUUUAAAUCCUUUAACGAGGAUCAAUUGGAGGGCAAGUCUGGUGCCAGCAGCCGCGGUAAUUCCAGCUCCAAUAGCGUAUAUUAAAGUUGUUGCGGUUAAAAAGCUCGUAGUUGGAUCUCGUCUAAGGGGUCUAGUCCACCGGUUGGUGGUUACUGGUACCCCCAGACUAUGUUGGAUAACUUAGUCUCCCUUAACCGGGAGACUGAGGGACCAGCACGUUUACUUUGAACAAAUUAGAGUGCUCAAAGCAGGCUAUUAUAAGCCUGAAUAAUCUUGCAUGGAAUAAUGGAAUAGGAUCUCGGUUCUAUUCUUGUUGGUCUUCGGAACUUGAGAUAAUGAUUAAGAGGGACAGACGGGGGCAUUCGUACUGCGGCGCUAGAGGUGAAAUUCUUGGACCGUCGCAAGACGAACUACAGCGAAAGCAUUUGCCAAGGAUGUUUUCAUUAAUCAAGAACGAAAGUUAGAGGUUCGAAGGCGAUCAGAUACCGCCCUAGUUCUAACCAUAAACGAUGCCAACCAGCGAUCAGGCUGAGUCUAUUUUAUGUGGUCUCGCCUGGAAGCUUUCGGGAAACCAAAGUUUUUGGGUUCCGGGGGAAGUAUGGUUGCAAAGCUGAAACUUAAAGGAAUUGACGGAAGGGCACCACCAGGAGUGGAGCCUGCGGCUUAAUUUGACUCAACACGGGAAAACUCACCCGGCCCGGACACUGGAAUGAUUGACAGAUUGAGAGCUCUUUCUUGAAUCAGUGGGUGGUGGUGCAUGGCCGUUCUUAGUUGGUGGAGCGAUUUGUCUGGUUGAUUCCGAUAACGAACGAGACUCUAGCCUACUUAAUAGUAUGUGGGAUUCUUAUGACUCCCACAUGACUUCUUAGAGGGACCGGCGGACUUGAAGCCGCACGAGAGAGAGCAAUAACAGGUCUGUGAUGCCCUUAGAUGUCCGGGGCCGCACGCGCGCUACACUGAGGUGAGCAGCGUGUUAAGGAUUACCUACCCGAGAGGGAAGCGUAACCACUUAACCUAUCUCGUGAUAGGGAUUGAGCAUUGUAAUUAUUGCUCAUGAACGAGGAAUCCCUAGUAAGCGUGAGUCAUUAGCUCGCGUUGAUUACGUCCCUGCCCUUUGUACACACCGCCCGUCGCUACUACCGAUUGAAUGAUUUAGUGAGGCCUUCGGACUGGCCGGCUUAGCUGCCUUCGGGUGGCCGAACCUGGCUGGAAAGAUGUCCAAACUUGAUCAUUUAGAGGAAGUA
rnacentral:rRNA from 1 species